CGUUCUAUGGCCAAACUGGUCAAGGCAUCGAGGCCGAGAUCCGGGUUCGAGUCCCGCUGGAACGG
rnacentral:tRNA from 1 species